UACAGAGGUCUCAAGCGUUGUUCGGAUUCAUUGGGCGUAAAGGGUGCGUAGGUGGCGCCGUAAGUCAGGUGUGAAAUUUCGGAGCUUAACUCCGAAACUGCAUUUGAUACUGCGGUGCUUGAGGACUGGAGAGGAGACUGGAAUUCACGGUGUAGCAGUGAAAUGCGUAGAUAUCGUGAGGAAGACCAGUGGCGAAGGCGGGUCUCUGGACAGUUCCUGACACUGAGGCACGAAAGCUAGGGGAGCAAACGGG
rnacentral:rRNA from 1 species